UUCCAUGAGGCAGCACAGUGUCACCAUGGCCCCUUGGUUCCAUGAGGUGCCCCAGUGUCACCGUGGUGUCCUUUGACCUUCAUUGUCACAACUGAUCUAUGCAGUCAGAGGCCCUUUAAGGCCCUCCUGGCAGUCAGUUGCCUAAGAUAAGAAAUCCUGAGUCAUGAUGACUGGACCAAAGAAGCCCCUCUUCCGCAUUUGGACCCUUGUUAUCUCUAGAAGAAGUUAUCUGAAGAGGCAUCCGAUGAACCUGCAUAUCGCCAUCUGGGAUGAGGUCCUCAGGAGUUGGACAGCAGACCACCCAACCAGCAGUUCCUUGACCCACAUUCGGCUAAAGAAGUGUAAGUUUAAAACAGCGUUUUUGCGCGCUUCUAUCUUGGGUCCCUUUUUGAGUUGGUUUUUUUUUUUUCUUUCUUUUUACUGCUGGGUGGUGUUAUAAAUGAAAAUUUGCCCAGUCAAAUUAAAAAUUAAAUAAAAAUGGUUUUAUUUAUUAUUAAAAUCUAUCUCACUGUUGCCCGUAAAGAGAACACAAAACAACCGAAGUCGUUUUAUGCAGUGCUUUAUUGAGGGCCCUGGGAGCCUGAGGACUAAUGUCCAAAGUCAGAGCCCCCCGAGCUAACAAAUCAUUGCGUUUAUAUAGAGUCUAUAUCAACGGUUGCUUAAUUCAACACAUAUUUGUCGACGUUACACUCCAACAAUCAUUUAUUUACAAAUUAAUCCUUGUUUAAAUUUAACAUUUUUUAUGAUCAUAAAUUCUCUUCACUCUGUUAGGUAAAAGCAAUGUAUUCCCCCAAGAUCUGCCUAUCCAUCUUGUGAAUAAUGACAUGUUCUACCACAGCCUACUCUUGGAAUGUAUUCUGAGAUAAGUUCCUACCUCUCCAGUAUUCCGUACUGCCCUUACCUAACAACUGUUUCUAACAACACACAGCCUAUGGCCUACUAAGAAUUCUAAGCCUUAGCUGAACUACUUCUACUAAACUUUUGCUAGUCUGAAAUGCAACAAAUGCCCCCUUUUGAGCAUCCUUCAAUCUUCCAGUUGCAAGGAUGCUCAACCAGUAGUCUUCAGUCCGUCUUCUCGAUUUACUGAAGGAGAUGGAGGAGGCGUGGUACUCCUUGUCAUUGCGUUGAUCAGUCUCCGGGUAUGAAGUCGUUCUUUGCUAACGAUCCCUGUCAUACACUUGUAAGCUCCGAGCACAACAAAGGUUAAAAUCAGCAGCAUUAUUACAUAUUGAAUUAUUGACGAAAUCCAACCAGAGACCUGAAGCCCCAUAGAACUAAACACUUCCCCUACCCAAUUGUGUUCUGCUUGUUGUUCUAAUUUCUGGGUCCUAUCCUCUACUUCUUCUAGCUGAGAUAUAUCUCGUUCGACCUCGACUGUUACAUUUGGAAUAUGGAUACAACAAUGAUCAAUUUUCUGAUUUAAAUAUCCACAUACCCCAUGGUCUUUUAAUAGCAAUAAGUCCAAUGCCAUUCGGUUUUGUAAAGUCAUCCUGCUAGUGGCUUGCAAUUGUAAAUUUAAAUCCUUAAACCCCUUUUUGGCAGCUAAUCUUUCGGUUUGCCCCAUUAGCUUAUAUAGCAUAUCCCUAUUCCGAUAAGCUGCUAUUGGUGAAAAGAGUGAUUCCAGUGCCCAUCCAAAUUUUACACCACCAUCAGGUUCAUGCCACUAGUCUUCAUCAUUUAUAUUUCUUUUAAUUUUCGAUUUUAACCUUGAUUGUUUCCACAACAGGCACAAGGUGGGAAUUCCUAAAGUUACCUGAGUGACUGGUCCGUCAAUGGGCAUAUGUGUGGUCCAUUCCCCGUGUCCCAUUACCCAUACCAAAUUCCCUGGACUCCUAAUGGUUGUAGACUUACAGCUGAUGAUUCUUGUACCGUUCUUAUUUCCCUUAGUUUCUCCUCUUAUGGUAUGAUUAUAUCCCCUACACUCGCAUCCCCAUUUUAACAAAACUCUCACUGGUACUAACCCAAUCUGGGUCUCGGGGGUAUCGCAAGUUAUUACUCGAGUACAAUUCCAUAUUUCCUUCUGUUCCCUAAUCUGUCUUUUUGUAGUAUGUAGAUUCAUUACGCUUGAGUGAGUCUGAUUCUUAGUCCCGCUCAAUUGUACGCACCAAUGAACUUCUCCCAAAUAACUGUAGGUUUCUAAAAGGCCGGGUCCCCAAAUUGCUCCCCAUUCAUCUUCCAAGGACUGAGUUUGAGUAAUAUUUUGGCAAACC
rnacentral:lncRNA from 1 species